rnacentral:rRNA from 3 species
UUAAGUUAGAAAGGGCGCACGGUGGAUGCCUUGGCACUAGGAGCCGAUGAAGGACGGGACGAACACCGAUAUGCUUCGGGGAGCUGUAAGCAAGCUUUGAUCCGGAGAUUUCCGAAUGGGGAAACCCACCACUCGUAAUGGAGUGGUAUCCAUAUCUGAAUACAUAGGAUAUGAGAAGGCAGACCCGGGGAACUGAAACAUCUAAGUACCCGGAGGAAGAGAAAGCAAAUGCGAUUCCCUGAGUAGCGGCGAGCGAAACGGGAUCAGCCCAAACCAAGAGGCUUGCCUCUUGGGGUUGUAGGACACUCUGUACGGAGUUACAAAGGAACGAGGUAGAUGAAGAGGUCUGGAAAGGCCCGCCAUAGGAGGUAACAGCCCUGUAGUCAAAACUUCGUUCUCUCCUGAGUGGAUCCUGAGUACGGCGGAACACGUGAAAUUCCGUCGGAAUCCGGGAGGACCAUCUCCCAAGGCUAAAUACUCCCUAGUGACCGAUAGUGAACCAGUACCGUGAGGGAAAGGUGAAAAGCACCCCGGAAGGGGAGUGAAAGAGAUCCUGAAACCGUGUGCCUACAAGUAGUCAGAGCCCGUUAACGGGUGAUGGCGUGCCUUUUGUAGAAUGAACCGGCGAGUUACGAUCCCGUGCAAGGUUAAGCAGAAGAUGCGGAGCCGCAGCGAAAGCGAGUCUGAAUAGGGCGAAUUGAGUACGUGGUCGUAGACCCGAAACCAGGUGAUCUACCCAUGUCCAGGGUGAAGUUCAGGUAACACUGAAUGGAGGCCCGAACCCACGCACGUUGAAAAGUGCGGGGAUGAGGUGUGGGUAGGGGUGAAAUGCCAAUCGAACCUGGAGAUAGCUGGUUCUCUCCGAAAUAGCUUUAGGGCUAGCCUCAAGGUAAGAGUCUCGGAGGUAGAGCACUGAUUGGACUAGGGGCCCCUACCGGGUUACCGAAUUCAGUCAAACUCCGAAUGCCGAUGACUUAUCCUUGGGAGUCAGACUGCGAGUGAUAAGAUCCGUAGUCGAAAGGGAAACAGCCCAGACCGCCAGCUAAGGUCCCAAAGUAUACGUUAAGUGGAAAAGGAUGUGGAGUUGCUUAGACAACCAGGAUGUUGGCUUAGAAGCAGCCACCAUUUAAAGAGUGCGUAAUAGCUCACUGGUCGAGUGACUCUGCGCCGAAAAUGUACCGGGGCUAAACGUAUCACCGAAGCUGCGGACUGUUCUUCGAACAGUGGUAGGAGAGCGUUCUAAGGGCUGUGAAGCAAGACCGGAAGGACUUGUGGAGCGCUUAGAAGUGAGAAUGCCGGUAUGAGUAGCGAAAGAGGGGUGAGAAUCCCCUCCACCGAAUGCCUAAGGUUUCCUGAGGAAGGCUCGUCCGCUCAGGGUUAGUCGGGACCUAAGCCGAGGCCGAAAGGCGUAGGCGAUGGAUAACAGGUUGAUAUUCCUGUACCACCUCCUCACCAUUUGAGCAAUGGGGGGACGCAGGAGGAUAGGGUAAGCGCGGUAUUGGAUAUCCGCGUCCAAGCAGUUAGGCUGGGAAAUAGGCAAAUCCGUUUCCCGUGAAGGCUGAGCUGUGAUGGCGAGCGAAUUAUAGUAGCGAAGUUCCUGAUUCCACACUGCCAAGAAAAGCCUCUAGCGAGGUGAGAGGUGCCCGUACCGCAAACCGACACAGGUAGGCGAGGAGAGAAUCCUAAGGUGAUCGAGAGAACUCUCGUUAAGGAACUCGGCAAAAUGACCCCGUAACUUCGGGAGAAGGGGUGCUCUGUUAGGGUGCAAGCCCGAGAGAGCCGCAGUGAAUAGGCCCAGGCGACUGUUUAGCAAAAACACAGGUCUCUGCGAAGCCGUAAGGCGAAGUAUAGGGGCUGACGCCUGCCCGGUGCUGGAAGGUUAAGAGGAGCGCUUAGCGUAAGCGAAGGUGCGAAUUGAAGCCCCAGUAAACGGCGGCCGUAACUAUAACGGUCCUAAGGUAGCGAAAUUCCUUGUCGGGUAAGUUCCGACCCGCACGAAAGGCGCAACGAUCUGGGCACUGUCUCAACGAGAGACUCGGUGAAAUUAUAGUACCUGUGAAGAUGCAGGUUACCCGCGACAGGACGGAAAGACCCCGUGGAGCUUUACUGCAGCCUGAUAUUGAAUGUUGGUACAGCUUGUACAGGAUAGGUAGGAGCCUUGGAAACCGGAGCGCCAGCUUCGGUGGAGGCAUCGGUGGGAUACUACCCUGGCUGUAUUGACCUUCUAACCCGCCGCCCUUAUCGGGCGGGGAGACAGUGUCAGGUGGGCAGUUUGACUGGGGCGGUCGCCUCCUAAAAGGUAACGGAGGCGCCCAAAGGUUCCCUCAGAAUGGUUGGAAAUCAUUCGCAGAGUGUAAAGGCACAAGGGAGCUUGACUGCGAGACCUACAAGUCGAGCAGGGACGAAAGUCGGGCUUAGUGAUCCGGUGGUUCCGCAUGGAAGGGCCAUCGCUCAACGGAUAAAAGCUACCCCGGGGAUAACAGGCUUAUCUCCCCCAAGAGUCCACAUCGACGGGGAGGUUUGGCACCUCGAUGUCGGCUCAUCGCAUCCUGGGGCUGUAGUCGGUCCCAAGGGUUGGGCUGUUCGCCCAUUAAAGCGGUACGCGAGCUGGGUUCAGAACGUCGUGAGACAGUUCGGUCCCUAUCCGUCGCGGGCGCAGGAAAUUUGAGAGGAGCUGUCCUUAGUACGAGAGGACCGGGAUGGACGCACCGCUGGUGUACCAGUUGUUCUGCCAAGGGCAUCGCUGGGUAGCUAUGUGCGGACGGGAUAAGUGCUGAAAGCAUCUAAGCAUGAAGCCCCCCUCAAGAUGAGAUUUCCCAUUCCGCAAGGAAGUAAGAUCCCUGAAAGAUGAUCAGGUUGAUAGGUCUGAGGUGGAAGUGUGGCGACACAUGGAGCUGACAGAUACUAAUCGAUCGAGGACUUAACCAA